UACGGAGGGUGCAAGCGUUAUCCGGAUUCACUGGGUUUAAAGGGUGCGUAGGUGGGCAAGUAAGUCAGUGGUGAAAUACUCCAGCUUAACUGGAGGGGUGCCAUUGAUACUGCAGGGCUUGAGUGGAGUCGAAGUAGGCGGAAUUGACGGUGUAGCGGUGAAAUGCUUAGAUAUCGUCAAGAACACCGAUAGUGAAGACAGCUUACUAGGCUUCUACUGACGCUGAGGCACGAAAGUGUGGGGAUCAAACAGG
rnacentral:rRNA from 1 species